rnacentral:rRNA from 1 species
AUUGAACGCUGGCGGCAGGCCUAACACAUGCAAGUCGAGCGAGCGGCGGACGGGUGAGUAAUGUCUGGGAAACUGCCUGUUGGCGGGGGAUAACUACUGGAAACGGUAGCUAAUACCGCAUACCAUCAGAUGUGCCAAGAUGGGAUUAGCUAGUAGGUGGGGUAACGGCUCACCUAGGCGACGAUCCCUAGCUGGUCUGAGAGGAUGACCAGCCACACUGGAACUGAGACACGGUCCAGACUCCUACGAGAGGCAGCAGUUGGGAAUCUUGCACAAUGGGCGAAAGCCUGAUGCAGCCAGGCCGCGUGAGUGAAGAAGGUCUUCGGGUUGUAAAGCACUUUCGGCAGGGAGGCGUUACCCGAAGAAGAAGCAACGGCUAACUCCGUGCCAGCAGCCGCGGUAAUUC